GAUGAAGAACGUAGCGAAAUGCGAUACGUAGUGUGUAUUGCAGAAUUCAGUGAAUCAUCGAAUCUUUGAACGCACAUUGCACCUCUCGGUAUUCCGGGAGGUAUGCCUGUUCGAGCGUCAUUUGUACCCUCAAGCUCUGCUUGGUGUUGGGUGUUUGUUCCGCCUCUGUGUGUGAACUCGCCUCAAAACAAUUGGCAGCCGGCGUACUUGUUUCGGAGCGCAGCACAUUUUGCGAUCCAGAUCAACGUACAGCGGCAUCCAAGAAGCCUUAUUUAACGCUCUUGACCUCGGAUCAGGUAGGGAUACCCGCUGAACUUAAGCAUAUCAAUAAGCGGAGGA
rnacentral:misc_RNA from 1 species